CCAUAUGUUACAGUGUAGCACUUCCAUCAAACACUACUCUUAAUUUAGUGCUGAUAUUCUCUGGUCGCACUACAGCAUGAUGAGGUCAUAUGAUUGUGUGA